GACGAACCACACAAACGUUAUUCGGAAUUACUGGGCUUAAAGGGUGCGUGGGCGGCGCGGAAAGUUGGGUGUGAAAUCCCUCGGCUCAACCGAGGAACUGCGCUCAAUACUACCGUGCUCGAGGGAGACAGAGGUGAGCGGAACUUAGGGUGGAGCGGUGAAAUGCGUUGAUAUCCUAAGGAACACCCGUGGCGAAAGCGGCUCACUGGGUCUCUUCUGACGCUGAGGCACGAAAGCUAGGGUAGCGAACGGG
rnacentral:rRNA from 1 species